rnacentral:misc_RNA from 1 species
UCAUGUCAUUGUCAUUUUGUCAAUGAGUCGUGGCCGUAGGUUGGUGCCAAUCUCCUUUCCGUCAGCCCCUUGAAUUAAAACACCAUGAGUGCCAAGUUACAGGAGUACCGAGAUACGGUCGAGCGCCACCUGCUUGACAAAAGCAAGCCAUGGACCAAAUAUUUCGAUAAAGUCGAGGCACAGACUGGAGUCAACAGAGUAUACAUUUUCGUCGGUUUGGUGGCGUUCACCGGUUUAUAUUUAGUAUUUGGAUUUGGAGCUGAACUGAUAUGCAACGCCAUUGGUUUUGUCUACCCGGCAUACAUGUCGAUGAAGGCGCUUGAGUCGCCACAGAAAGAUGACGACACUAAGUGGUUGACCUACUGGGUGGUGUUCGCGUGCUUCUCGCUCAUCGAGUACUUUUCAGACUUCAUUGUCGGCUGGUUCCCGUUCUACUGGCUACUGAAGUGUAUCUUCGUGAUAUGGUGCUACCUCCCGACGGAGUACAAUGGCUCGAUGAUAAUAUACCACCGCAUCAUUCGCCCGUACUACCACAAGCAUCACGGACGCAUCGAUGACGUCACCAACUCUGAAUUACUGAAGGACCUAGCCAAGAAUGUCAACAAACAGAUUGACAAAACGAUGAAAAAAGUGAACGAGGCCAUCGACAAAAAGCUGGCUCAAGAUUAAGAGUAAAAAGGAUUAGAGAUAUCAUAUACGCUACUGCGCUACACGUCUAGUGGCAGAUGCUAUAUCUAACGUUAGGAAGAACAACUAGAUCCGCUUUAAACAUAUUUGGUAGCGAAAAGUACAAAAAUGCACCUGCUACUACCACGAGCUUCGCACCACAACCAUUGGCUGAAAAUAUAAGAAAAAUCGAUAAAUGACAUAACAAAAAUGACGGAGAUUUUGCUAUAAGAUAACGAUAAUAACCCUCUAAAACUUACAAGAGGUAGAACCCCUAAAUAAGCAUCAUUAAGAUCAAUUUCAUAAAGAAAAUUAAAAUUCAAUUACCAUAAUUUGUAUGGUCAAUCAAUAUUUUAAUUUUCCAAAAAUGCUUUUUCGUCCCAAUAUCUCCGUCUUUUACUGUCAAAAAGUAUUUUAUAAAGUAACGAACGUAUCAGUGGAUGGUAAUUAAAAUAGUUUUGUUUAUAAUGUUGACCAUUUAACAAGGACUGUUCUCUUUGUAUUGUAAGAACAUUUUCUACGAAAGGUUUUACGCUAAAGCUGGUCUAGGAGCGCUAGAAGCAUAUAAUAACAAUGCUCUUCUAAUGGCACUAUUAAUUAACCUUUAUAUGACCAACAUAAUACAUCACUCAAAAGCAAGACAUGGGAAACGUUUAUUUAAAAAAUAAAAUAAAGAAACUCGAAGUCAAUAGUGCCUAAAUUGAUAUGACUGACAGCAUUCAUCAGUAGAUUUCUUUACGUCGUAUGUUUCUGCGCCUCUAGUAGCAAAUACUGUCGUAAAACCAAACUUGUGAUUCAAACCCUAUAAUAUACGUUCUAAGUAAGAACUUUCAACCUUAUCAUCAUGUAUUAAGCUAAGUUUUUUUUGUACAAUCGUGUCCAUUUAUUUCUUCUUUUUAAUUGUAGAAAUUCCUAGUUGAAUCUAUCUUUUCUUUUAUUGGGAUUAAGUGAUCUAAUUUUUGGGAUUUUAAUGUUUUCUGACACUUGCAAGGAUUGUGUAAAAUUCUUGAUGUGGGCGUGGGUUUUGAAGAUUCGGCAACUGUUCAAAAUCAAUGUCGUUAUUUUUAAAUAUUAUAAGUACGAUCAUGCUGAGUUCAAGCAGGUGCUUUCUUUAGAAGAAUAAGUGACAUACAUACAGUCGAUUUCAUUUUUCCCCUUUUCUAAGAUCUCUUCGGAACAAUGAAUUUCUUUCCAAUGUAGUUUAAUUUGCUCAAGGAAUGUUUGUGUAUGUAUUUUAUUGUUUAUAUUGUUGGAUAUUUAGAAAACUGAGGAGUGUAUUUACAUAUACCAUUUACACUAAAAUGUUCCGCUUUGUUCCAAAACAUGAGUAAGUAAUAUUACUUAAGCUAACAGGAACAGAAGCACUAUAGAUUUUUGUACAAUCCAGCAAAAUCUUCGAGCGAUUCGCUAUUUUAUAUCUACAAAAGACAUGUUUUGUAUAUUUUCGACCUAAUUAGUGUUAGUUCACGUCGUGGUUGCACCAUUUCUUCACGAACAUUCUGAGUGGGGUUGCCAACAAUAAAAUCUUCAACAUGUUUGUUAUGUAAAUUUUCGCAAGUCCUUUUUCUGUUAUAAAAAUCCUCGUUUAUAGAAAUCGUUCAAAGAAUCAUAUUUGAGUACCUUUUUUAUUUUAUUUCCAAUGGUAACAUGUUUGGUGUUCGUGGAGUUUAUUUUAAGGAAUAUUUAAAGACUUCACAUAUAGCUUGCCUGAAAUCUAUGUAAGUGUGCCUUCAACUUCGCUGGCGUUGUCGUUGUUAACGUAUUUUUUUCACAUAAUAAAAGGAAUUCAUUGUAUAA